UCAUCGUCCAAAUAAUUACACAUCCCGGCAGAUCAAAUUGGUGGUGCAAUACAAAGACAGUUCGCGGACGCCUUGAAAGUUCAUGUUCAACAGCCAGCGAAUGACGGUUGGAAGAGGAAGCAACUGGAUGUUUGGUCAACCAGCAAAGCAGCUGGUGGCGUCAAAGCGAUAUACCAGUGGAAAUUCAAAACCUACAUGUCAUCAAGAAACAUCAGAUGUUUGUUGGAAUCCUCAAAAGUUCUAAACUCUUCGUACAAAAACAGGAACAACGUGAACUACUUGACAAAAAUGGGGAUUGCAAUAGAGUUUUGAUCUAUGGAACCGACUUGAGACACAAAAAACUAUUUUUGUUGAGCCACGACGAAAAAACGAAUUUACAGAGGCAAUGGAAGGAUUUUAUGAAAACGUUCGCAACCCAUGCAGAGAACAAGCGUGCUGUUUCUUGUCGUUUGCCAAAGAAAGGUCAGCAAAACCGGGAAACGAAGAUUUAACUGUUGAAAUUGACGUUUUCUAUUGAUUUUUGUUUGAGACCGAAAGUAUGUGUGCCAGGAUCAGGUGACCAGCUGUGCAUUCACCCCCAGGUUCUUGAACAAGAAACACACACGG
rnacentral:lncRNA from 1 species